rnacentral:rRNA from 1 species
UACGGGGGGGAGCAAGCGUUUGUUCGGAUUUACUGGGCGUAAAGGGCGCGUAGGCGGUCGUGACAAGUCACUUGUGAAAUCUCCGGGCUUAACUCGGAACGGUCAAGUGAUACUGUCGGACUAGAGUACAGAAGGGGCAACUGGAAUUCUCGGUGUAGCGGUGAAAUGCGUAGAUAUCGAGAGGAACACCUGCGGCGAAGGCGGGUUGCUGGGCUGAUACUGACGCUGAGGCGCGAAAGCGUGGGGAGCAAACAGG